CCUACGGGGGGCAGCAGUAGGGAAUAUUGGUCAAUGGACGCAAGUCUGAACCAGCCAUGCCGCGUGCAGGAAGAAGGUCCUCUGGAUUGUAAACUGCUUUUGUCCGGGAAUAAAUCUGUCUUAAGAGGCAGUUGAAGGUACCGGGAGAAUAAGCACCGGCUAACUCCGUGCCAGCAGCCGCGGUAAUACGGAGGGUGCAAGCGUUGUCCGGAUUUAUUGGGUUUAAAGGGUGCGUAGGCGGCCUGUUAAGUCAGUGGUGAAAUGCGGUGGCUCAACCAUCGAACUGCCAUUGAUACUGACGGGCUUGAGUACAGUUGAGGUAGUUGGAAUGAGUAGUGUAGCGGUGAAAUGCAUAGAUAUUACUCAGAACACCGAUUGCGAAGGCAGAUUACUAAACUGGAACUGACGCUGAGGCACGAAAGUGUGGGGAUCAAACAGGAUUAGAUACCCUAGUAGUC
rnacentral:rRNA from 1 species